AUCUGCUUGCUCGAUAAGUUGGAUUCUAUUUCUUCUACAACGGAUGGAUCCCGUAAGGCAUCUGACACUUCUUCUCGUGAUAUAUACUUUUACUCAACUGACCUUUUUAUAUCUGCCUUUUCUCUAACUUAUUCAGUUUCUGACAUGCAAGAUAAUACCUCAGAGUCUUAGAAAAACGGUAGAUCACAUUAGCAGGAUCCACGGAAAUAAGCGUCAGUACUCCCAAAGAGAUGGCUGCUUGCCUUGACCAAUCAGUCCAGUCGUUCACAUGACAUUUUCACUAUCACUGUGGAACAAAUGCGCAAGAUCAAUACAGAUUCUCCUGAAAAUGGUAUUUACAAUGGGAGCUUGAAAGAAGAGUAUCAUUGUGCCAAGUUGCACAUAGUAUACCUUGCCGGUUCAGAACGAGCCAAAAGAACUGGUUCUGACGGUAUGAAAGUUAAAGAAGGAGUUUACAUAAAUAAAGGCCUCCUUGCGCUGGGUAAUGUCAUCAGUGCGCUUUAAGAUGAGAGAAAGCGCAAAGAUGGUGCUCAUGUUCCUUACAGAGACAGUAAACUUACACAUAA